rnacentral:lncRNA from 1 species
AUGGCGGGGGUGCGGCCGAGGGUGUCGGGUAUGGCACCGGAGAACUUGUUGUUGUUGAGGAAGAGGACGUCGAGGUCGAGCGAGAAGACGGCCGGCGGGAGGAGGCCGUGGAGGAAGUUGAAGCGGAGGUCGAGGAAGGUGAGGUUGGUUGCGGUGAGGACCUGCGGCGGGAAGGGGCCGGUGAGGUUGUUGUUGCUGAGGUCGAGCUCGAAGAGGGAGUGGACGGUGUUGAUGCCGGGGGGGACGCCGCCGGAGAAGAAGUUGGAGUUGGCGUGGAAGACGAUGAUGUCGGUGAGGUCUUCGAGGAAGUUGUUGAGGGCGAGGGGGCAGUUAGGUUUGCCGGCGAACUUGAAGUUGUUGAAGUUGACGAGGGCAACGAGGAGCUUGUUCUCGCGUUUCGUGGUGUCGCAGAUGAAGCCCUUGUAUUUGCUCUUGUCGUAGCAGAGCUUGCCGUUCCAAGUCUUGGUG